rnacentral:lncRNA from 1 species
GCUGGCUUGCUUUGCUGGUGAGAGGACCAAAGCAUCAGUAGUGCUGGUCUGAACCACCAUGUUGCCUGUUCUUUGUGAUCCUCAUAGUGUUCUGCAACAAAUCAUCUCCAAGGGUCCACUGCUUCACAUUUACACCUGCAGAGCAGGCUGCUUCUCCUCAGCCUGGCCAGUGCCCCGGUGCUCCUGCUGGGUGGAGUCCCAGGGCCUCCGUGGAAGGACUCCAUCCACACUUUGAGAGACGCGUCCCCUCCACCUUCUCUGGACCCUCAGGCUCCCUC